AUGAUCAAUGUUCUCAUCAUCAUAUUUCCUGCCAUACUCUUGUGUCUUGCAGUCCAGAAUCCUCCUGAUGUCAUAAAAUAUCAAGACGAGUUUGCUGAGAUCAAAUGUGCACACAAUGUAAAUAACUAUGACCGCAUACUGUGGUACAAACACAACCAGGACACAGGAUUUACACUCAUGGGAUACCUAUACACUGUUUCUUCAACGCUGGAGGAAGAAUUUGAAACCAAAAUCAAACUGAGUGGUGAUGGGAGAAAUAAUGGUUCUUUGACCAUGAAGAGUCUUUCAGUGAAUGACAGUGCUGUGUAUUUCUGUGCAGCUUAUUACACAGUGCUGUAG